UUUGUCUAUGCAGCACCCAAGUGUCCGUAGUUUCGCUGAGAGCACCGGGGUUAUCGUUAUAUUUUCCUCGCGAGAGCGCGGCGCGCAACCCUAAGCCGCCGUUGCCGAUCAACCCCGCCGGACGUGCUCCGACGCCCCGCUGCCGCUAUCAUCUCUCCUCUCUCUUUCUCUCGCUGGGGCUGAUGAGAAAGGUGGCCCAAAAUUGAAGUGAAGAUCGAUUUUAUCAUUUCCCCUUAAGAAAUUGAAGGCGUUAUCGUCUAUUGUGACCUAGAAACAGCUAAUUUUUGAUAAUUUUGAUUGAAACAUUAUGCAUCAAGAAUGCUUAAAAGCAUGUACUCCUACCAAGAAAUUAUAUAAUAGUUGGAGGCUUGGGUUACACAAAGGCAAACCUCCAGAUUUUUCUGUUGGCUUUAUCUUGAGUGGCAAUAAAUAUGAGAACCAGGGUUCGAUCCUAACCUAUCUCCAUUGGAAAGGCACAAUCAUAUAUACAUGCUUCUAAUGGAACAUCACUUCAAACGUGUAAAAGAGUGGCUUAUGGCAUGAUUUGAGUCAGUACUGGAGGUGGAGCAUGACGUGACCAAGAAAGAAGGUGACAUGGUGGAUCUUACUGCAAGAUGAUGGUUUUGACAGGAAUGGAGGCGAGGCAUUAGAUCUCAUGCAACAGAUGAUUAGCCUAAUCUCGUUGAAUCAGAGCAAGAUGGAUGGAUCUGCUAUGGCCUUAAAGAGCCGUCUCAAAAUACUCUGCUCGACUGGCUCCUAUAUGUUGACUGAUAAUGGAGGAUCUUGCAGCAAGAGAAGUGGUUUAAGCAUCUCUCUUUCUAGUCCUAAUGGUCAUGUGCUUGGUGGUGGUGUUGGUGGAUUGCUCAUGGCUGCAACCCCUGUACAGGUGAUAGUGGGAAGUUUCAUGUAGAGUGGAUGAACAGGGAAGGACAAAACCAAGACCAGCCAAGAAUCAAAUGUUGAACCUGAGAAUCCAAUGGAGUAUAAAAAGAACACACCAUCCGGUGCGCCGCCCAACUAAAAUCUCACCUCCUCUGUCCUGGGAGGAUGGCCUGGUUUGAGGCUAAGGGACAUGUGGAAUGCUCACAUUGAUAUUGAGUUGAAGCUCAUGCUGGUUAUUUGUACCUAGACAGGUGGUGUGUAUAUGUGGCACUUGUAGGAUGAUGGGGAGCCUUAGGAAAGUAGCAACAUUAUGAUUUCAAUUGAAAUGGUAUGUAUUAGUAUGUAAAAUCUGGCACAUUGCUGUGCAUACCAUCAAAAAUUCAAGGGCUAAUAUAUGCAAAGGCAAUUUUAUUGCUGGCACCAUCUCAAACAAGAGCAGAUUAGAGACUCAGAGUUCGAUCUUACUCACCUCCACCUGCGAAGCUGAUUUAAUGGCAACGGUGCCACAAUCAUUUUCUGCAAUUCAAGGAUUUAUAUGUUUACCAAUAAGACUGGUUGUCGAGACAUAGAUUCAUGUUAAGGUAACAAAACUUGCUCAUUUUACAGUCAAAGAGGGCAAUAACCUCUACCUCUAGUGUGAAUGAUGGUAUGUGACAGAUUUGAUAGGCAGCCAGAAAGAAUCUUGAUGAGAUUUUUCAUUUUCAAUUUAAACCAACGUCUACAGGGAAUUGGGUGCAGGCAAUAAUUGCUUAGUUAAUACAAAUUUUCCUUGUACCUUGGUUGUGGAAUUUGUCACUACUAAAGGUUGUAAAUGAUUCAUGGUCAUUUUAUUUUCCAUAGAAAUUUCCUGAGCUCACCUUUACCUAAUGUAUGAUAUUUGGAUUCUAAGCCUUCCUCAAAUAGGAUCCAAAACUAGUUUUCGCAUUAGCUCUAAACAAAUGGUGAAUGCAAGAAAAUAUAGACUUUGUUACCAACUUCUAGAUGUGAAAAUAAUGAGCUGAAAUUAGUACUAAGCACCUCUGUCUUGGCUCAUCAUUUGAAAGGGUUAUCUGAGCUGAAGUCAAGCUUGACAAUAUACGUUUGGCCUUGGUUCAUUUGUUAAACAAACUGUGCUUGAAUGAGCCGGUUAUUGAGCUGAACUGAGCUUUUAUUUACUUUUGCAAGUCCAAUGUGUUCUGGCUCAUUCAGCCAUUAGUUUAAUUUUUAAAAGAAACAUGGUGCUUAAUAAAAUAUAGAUGAACCAAAAAAAAAUCGAAAAAGGAAAAUAACUAAAUCUAAGCCUAUUCUGAUACCUAUCUAUAUUUGAAUUUCUCAACAAGAUGCUCAUAUUGGUCUGUUGCAAUAAUAAACUAAUGAGUAUUGAAGGAUCAGAAUUUCCACUGGAAGAUGGUUUUGCAGUUAAGACUUGGUCCACAUUACGAUUAAAGGUAAGCCUACUUGAGAUGAUGAAAGUUGGAAAAAUAAUCACAUUAAGUAACACUACCAUAUUGGGAUCCCUAAAAACCAAGCCAUGUUUAACGUUGUUUUCUCCUUUCAAUCUGAAGCAAAUGGUGGUUUAUUGUUUGUAGAGAUUGUUAAAGGGAGGUAUGCCUUUGGCUGAUGAAUAAAGGAAUCCAGCAUUAUUAAGACUUGCCACUAGAAGAAUGCAGCUAUAUGAUCAUGUAUAUCAUGGCCAUCAUAUAAUGCCAUCAGGGGAGCUUUUGGCAGGAGAAGUAUUCACCAAACUCCUUGAUGGAGGACUGUUGGCAGUCAAGGCUUUCUGCGAGGGACCCUACACGAGGACAACUAAAAGGUCGGAUUUUCACCAUGGAUGUGCUAAGAUGACAUGCUGAUGAAGCUUGCCAUGGUACUUAUGGGAGAGACAAAAAAGUUCGAGAAGGUAAAAAAUUGCAGCUGCAAUGUUGUUGACAUAUGCAUAUGGUACUUGUGGAAAGGAAUAUUGGGAAGUAUUGUCACCUUUAGGAAAGACCCAUGAUCUUAAAAAAUUGGCACAGCAAUUUUGAUGUAUACAUAUGAUACUUGUGGGGAGGCUGGUCACAAUGCAGUCAUCAGAAGAAGAUCCAAAAAUGUAAAAGAUUGCUGCAAUAUCUGUUGUGCGUGUCUAAUGGUACUCGUGGAGAUGACUCCUGAGAAGUAUAGUCGGCCCCUCUUAGGGGAUACAAGAAUGUGAGAUUUUUACUGCAAUGUUUGUUGCCAUUUAUCUUUUUUUUGUAUGUGUGUUUUCUUUUCAAUUUCUGUACUUACGAUGGAAUUUGAUGUUACAAUAUUGUUUAUCUGUUCUCUAGCUUGAGACCUAAUUAGUAAUCAAAUCAUUUUACUCGCCAGCA